rnacentral:lncRNA from 1 species
AUGCAGAGGUGCUUUUUCCCUUGCUCUGGACUUUGUGGCAGGAAAACGACUUCAGCAGCUUUACAAGAGGAGAGAGAUCAGCUCCACAAAAAUUAUUUUAGACCUAUGCCAGCAGCUGCCCAACACACUCAAAUAAAGCCCCAAAUGGAGCGUGGGCCUCCUGAGAAAAACUGCAACCUAUUUCUCAAGCGGCCAGGACGAGGUCCGGAUGAAAGCUGUGAAAUUUCAGCGGCGCUUUUGCAGAGUAUCCCGGUGACUGAGAUAGAAGACAAGACCCUGCAUCUUCUUCUGACUGGUAAAGAAUGUCAACGGUGGUGGUGGUGGUGGUCAGGACCUGGUUGGUCACCUGCACUCUCUCCUGGCUGCAAGACCAUGCGGGUGGGUGUAAGAAAGAGAAAGAGGGCGAAGAGGACCCAUGGUUGUCAUGGAGGUCAUGAAGUCUUGACCCAGCCCGCACAAAGUUGCUUCAGUUCCCUAGCAGAGGAAGGGUUAGCAGAGGGGGGGGGAGAAGCUACCUUCUCCACAGGUGGAUGUGUUCCUGGUCAGAAGAUGCCUGAGAUUCCGCCGGGUGUACUGAGCCCUUCCGAGCCUCCUUUGCCUCUUCCAAAUCCCAGAACGCUCAGAGCCAGCAUGGCCAUCCCAUCCGGACAAAGGUAG